CGAAGUAAAGCAAAUGUGUGGCAAGAUGUUAAAGGCUCAGAAAGAAACGCACUUCAUGCAGCUACAGUGAUCCUGAGUGCUCUUUGCAAGCCACCAGCUGCCUCAUCCGAUGGACAAACACUACCUGGGCUCAUCAUGUGCAUGACAAUGAUGAGCAUGUUUGGUUGCAUGCUGAUAGCUUGGUUGGCCAGAAGAACACGAUGUCUGAGGAGAGAGCAAGAGGGCGAGGGAGGAUUCAACACCGGCCCCGUGGUGAGUGACACUGUCGAGACGCCUGCGCAAAAGGGAAGGCAUGUGAGUCAAGAGGGGAGUGGAAAGAGGGAGAAACUGAUAGAGAGGGUGAUGUAGAUAAGGGGCGCAGGCCGUGAAAGAGAAAGAGGAGCUUUGGAGGAUUAACGGGGGAGCUGAAUUUGGAGGGCAGACGAGGCCAGCAGACAGCAGCUGGGGGAGGCCUGGAUCACAUCAGAUUGGUUAAAAUGUGAACUUUGUUUCGCAGAUGGGCUUCCUUUGAACUCACAGACAGGGUUAUUGAAAUGGUUUAGUUACAUGCUUUACUAUAAAAAAAACAAAACAAACAUAUAUAUGAAUCUGUGAACGUUCGAGAAAAAAAUGACCAGUGACAGAUUGUUCUUGAAGAAAAUGUAUUAACCUUAAAAGACAUUUAAUGCAGGGUCAAGUGAGACUAUAAAUAAUUCCCCAAAGAUUGUAGGUGCUGCAGUGUCGAGUGACCAGAUUAUCUGAUUGUCUGGUUGUUGCUGUUCCACACAUGCUUUGCAUCAGGAAAAACAAAAGCCUUCUGAAUGUAACAACUGGAGGCUGUUACUUUUGCUUUAAUCCUCCUGUAAGGCUACAAAAGAUUUUCACAGAUUUUAACCAAUUAUUGUGAACAAAUUAAUUAAUGGCAACAAUGUUAUCACAACCUCUGUAUUGUCUUUACAGGCAAAUGAGCUGUCUGCAUACAUAGCUGUACAAAUAGCAUAAAAAAGAACAACUAGUCAGAUAUUUACAAUAAUUUAUGAUAUGUGCAUUAAGACAAUAUGCAUGUGUCAUCAUUUAUAAAUAUCAUAUAGUAACACUGGUCCUGGACCAGUUUACAUAGUGACAUGAAUCACAACUCAUUUGUGGAUUGUUCAGCUUUUAUUGUGAUAGGAGAAAACAGGAAAGCUGGCAGAACCCUAAAUAAAUUGCACAAUACAUUUUUAAGCCAUAGAUUGAAAAAAAAAUGCUGGAUGUAGUAAAUAUGAUAUAAAUUAAAACCCAUAUAUGCAAAUUCAUCUGCCAGGAGGUUCAAUAAACAUUUAAUUUUUCAAAACAAAUAAAAAUAAAAAAAAAUAGAAAA